AGCAAUUGAGGCGUUUUCUGGAACAAUGACUUAACUGAAAUCCAAAUCAGUCAGUAAUUCCUACAUAUUACACUAUCACGUCAUAUUGAUUGACUGAUUAAUUGUUUUAUUGGCCCAUUUCAUCAUUUUUCUACAGGAAUGAUUGAAUCUGUUUGUGUCCCAGUCCCCUGACACCUUCAUGUUCUCAUUUUGAGAGAAGUAGUUCAUGGUAUGGGACCUCAUCAUCAUCAUCAUCAGUUCAUGGUUUAUGACAUCAAAAACUUUGUGUUUACGUCAUCAAAUCGGAGGCACUGUCAUUUGGAACCAAGCUAGAUUGUUCAAGAAUGGAGUAAAACAUAAGACUUG